GAUGAACGCUGGCGGCGUGCCUAAUACAUGCAAGUCGAGCGAACAGAUGAGGAGCUUGCUCCUCUGACGUUAGCGGCGGACGGGUGAGUAACACGUGGAUAAUCUACCUAUAAGACUGGGAUAACUUCGGGAAACCGGAGCUAAUACCGGAUAAUAUAUUGAACCGUAUGGUUCAAUAGUGAAAGACGGUUUUGCUGUCACUUAUAGAUGGAUCCGCGCCGCAUUAGCUAGUUGGUAAGGUAACGGCUUACCAAGGCAACGAUGCGUAGCCGACCUGAGAGGGUGAUCGGCCACACUGGAACUGAGACACGGUCCAGACUCCUACGGGAGGCAGCAGUAGGGAAUCUUCCGCAAUGGGCGAAAGCCUGACGGAGCAACGCCGCGUGAGUGAUGAAGGUCUUCGGAUCGUAAAACUCUGUUAUUAGGGAAGAACAAAUGUGUAAGUAACUAUGCACGUCUUGACGGUACCUAAUCAGAAAGCCACGGCUAACUACGUG
rnacentral:rRNA from 1 species